rnacentral:rRNA from 1 species
UACGUAGGGGGCAAGCGUUGUCCGGAUUUAUUGGGCGUAAAGAGCGUGUAGGCGGCUAGGUAGGUCCGUUGUGAAAACUCGAGGCUCAACCUCGAGACGCCUGAUGGAAACCAUCUGGCUAGAGUCCGGAAGAGGAGAGUGGAAUUCCUGGUGUAGCGGUGAAAUGCGCAGAUAUCAGGAAGAACACCCGUGGCUAAGGCGGCUCUCUAGUACGGUACUGACGCUGAGACGCGAAAGCGUGGGGAGCGAACAGG